rnacentral:rRNA from 1 species
AUUGAACGCUGGCGGCAUGCUUUACACAUGCAAGUCGAACGGCAGCAUAGGUGCUUGCACCUGAUGGCGAGUGGCGAACGGGUGAGUAAUAUAUCGGAACAUGUCCGGAAGUGGGGGAUAACGUAGCGAAAGUUACGCUAAUACCGCAUAUGCCCUGAGGGGGAAAGGGGGGGAUCGUAAGUCCUCUCGCUUUCGGAGUGGCCGAUAUCGGAUUAGCUAGUAGGUGAGGUAAAGGCUCACCUAGGCGACGAUCCGUAGCUGGUCCGAGAGGACGACCGGCCACACUGGGACUGAGACACGGCCCAGACUCCUACGGGAGGCAGCAGUGGGGAAUUUUGGACAAUGGGCGCAAGCCUGAUCCAGCCAUGCCGCGUGAGUGAAGAAGGCCUUCGGGUUGUAAAGCUCUUUCAGCUGGAAAGAAAUCGUAUCUAUUAAUACUAGGUGCGGAUGACGGUACCAGCAGAAGAAGCACCGGCUAACUACGUGCCAGCCGCCGCAGUAAAAC